UUUUUCAGCCAGUUUCGGAAUUGGUUCGGAACUACCAAGUGUAGCUUGGGGUUUGGCGAGACAAGCCUUCUCUUCGCUGCCGGACACGUGGCAGUCAUGGAGGAAAACAAGGAUCAUGUUGGAUUUCGUCCAUUGCAUCUUCCCCCCCAAAUCUUUGGUCGAGAUUUUCCUCAGGUUAUCUCUGUUUUUCCUGUCGGAUUUUUGCCACGUGUCAAAGAUGUCGAGUGUAGAUACACUAAAUCGGGCAAGAUCGGAUUUUCUCGACCGGCCAUCGACAGGAAUGAUGAAGUCUCGACAUUCUUCGUUCCUUCCUCGUUCCUUCGGCAAUCCGCUUCGAUAAAC
rnacentral:lncRNA from 1 species